UACACUCCUGCGGGAGGCAGCAGUGGGGAAUUUUACGCAAUGGGGGAAACCCUGACGUAGCGACACCGCGUGAGCGAAGAAGCCCUUUGGGGUGUAAAGCUCUGUCAGCUGGAACGAAAACAAUGACGGUACCAGCAGAGGAAGCAUCGGCUAACUACGUGCCAGCAGCCGCGGUAAGACGUAGGAUGCGAGCGUUGUCCGGAUUUAUUGGGCGUAAAGAGUUCGUAGGUGGUUUGUUAAGUUUGGUGUUAAAGAUCGGGGCUCAACCCUGGGACUGCACUGAAUACUGGCAGACUCGAGUGUGGUAGAGGCUAGUGGAAUUCCCAGUGUAGCGGUGAAAUGCGUAGAUAUUGGGAAGAACACCGGUGGCGUAGGCGACUAGCUGGGCCAUAACUGACGCUGAGGAACGAAAGCCAGGGGAGCGAAUGGGAUUAGAUACCCGAGUAGUCCCAUG
rnacentral:rRNA from 1 species